rnacentral:misc_RNA from 1 species
GUGAAUCAUCGAAUCUUUGAACGCAAAUUGCACUCUCUGGUAUUCCGGAAAGUAUGCCUGUUUGAGGAUCAGUUUAAAUAAAAAUCGGUGUCGUUGCUGCCUUUCGUGGUGACGCACCUGGUUUUGGUCGUCUGGCCUUCGGUUAAGUUACCUAAAAUUUUACAUGAUUUUUUCGAUCUUGUUUAUGUUAUUUUACGUACAUUUUCUGUAUCUACUACUACGUGUUGUCAUCCGCAUGAUUCUCGCCUUUAGUUUUUCAUCAAAAUUACCUCAAAUCAGGU